rnacentral:rRNA from 1 species
AAGGAUCAUUAAUGAAUUCACUAUGGAGUUGUUGCUGGCCUCUAGGGGCAUGUGCACGCUUCACUAGUCUUUCAACCACCUGUGAACUUUUGAUAGAUCUGUGAAGUCGUCUUUCAAGUCGUCAGACUUGGUUUGCUGGGAUUUAAACGUCUCGGUGUGACAACGCAGUCUAUUUACUUAACACACCCCAAAUGUAUGUCUACGAAUGUCAUUUAAUGGGCCUUGUGCCUAUAAACCAUAAUACAACUUUCAACAACGGAUCUCUUGGCUCUCGCAUCGAUGAAGAACGCAGCGAAAUGCGAUAAGUAAUGUGAAUUGCAGAAUUCAGUGAAUCAUCGAAUCUUUGAACGCACCUUGCGCCCCUUGGUAUUCCGAGGGGCAUGCCUGUUUGAGUGUCAUUAAAUUCUCAAACUCACUUUGGUUUUUUCCAAUUGUGAUGUUUGGAUUGUUGGGGGCUGCUGGCCUUGACAGGUCGGCUCCUCUUAAAUGCAUUAGCAGGACUUCUCAUUGCCUCUGCGCAUGAUGUGAUAAUUAUCACUCAUCAAUAGCACGCAUGAAUAGAGUCCAGCUCUCUAAUCGUCCGCAAGGACAAUUUGACAAUUUGACCCCAAAUCAGGUAGGACUACCCGCUGAACUUAA